CGACGUGCAUUAGCUAGUUGGUAGGUAACGGCUACCAAGGCGAUGAUGCAUAGCCCGAGUCGAGAGACUGAUCGGCCACAUUGGGACUGAGACACGGCCCAAACUCCUACGGGAGGCAGCAGUAGGGAAUCUUCCACAAUGGACGAAAGUCUGAUGGAGCAACGCCGCGUGAGUGAAGAAGGUUUUCGGAUCGUAAAGCUCUGUUGUUGGUGAAGAAGGAUAGAGGUAGUAACUGGCCUUUAUUUGACGGUAAUCAACCAGAAAGUCACGGCUAACUACGUGCCAGCAGCCGCGGUAAU
rnacentral:rRNA from 1 species